UAACCUGGUUGAAUCUGCCAGUAGUCAUAUGCUUCGUUCAAGGACUAAGCCAUGCAUGUCUCAGCGCACAUGGUGCAACAGUGGGUCUGUGAAUGGCUCCUUACAUCAGCAGUCAUCUCUGUGAUAGAGUGUGCUCGGCCAAGGUGCAUGGCCCUAUGGACAUCCUCCAAAACUUGGUGGCUAAUACACGGAUGCAGAUGUCUGCCACACCGUAUGGGGGACCCCUCGGGAGAACCCAUCGGUGGUGGAUUGCAACCAGCCUUGCAAAGACCAGCGCCAGAGAAUGGCAGUGUUGGAGAGCUGAAUCAGGCUGGUCCGACUGGACAAUGCGCUGGCAGAGCUGUGGCAACGCCACUCUUGCUUGAUCACAUGAGCUUCUGACCUAUCAGCUUGGACUGUGGUGUAUUGGACCACAGUGGCCUUAACGGGUGACGGAGAAUUUGGGUUCGAUUCCGGAGAGGGAGCCUGAGAAACGGCUACCACUACCAAGGUGGGCAGCAGGCGCGCAAAUUGCCCAAUACCAAGGCAGAUGGUGAGGCAGCAACGAACUGCAGCAAUCAUGCCCACUUCUGUGGGCAGGACUUGGAAUGGAUGCUAUCCAAACACAGCCAUGAGCAACAACUGGAGGGCAAGUCUGGUGCCAGCAGCUGCGGUAAUUCCAGCUCCAAGGGCGUAUACUAACAUUGCUGCUGUUAAAACACUUGUAGUCUGCCACAGGGUUGCAGGUCUGCUGAUGGCCGGCCCUCGGUGGUUCGCCGCCUGGGGGUUGGAUCUCAACCAUCGGUAGUAUGUUCCUGCUCCCAAUUCCAACGAUGGUGGAUUGCUCCUGCAUGAAGUCCACUUCAGUGUGGGCCAAAGCUAUCUUGCAGUCAACGCAUGCAUGGGUGUUGGACCCACAGCCCUGUGCUGUGACGGAAUGCCAGCACCCAUACCCGGAGUGCACCAUCAAUGCUACCGUGGAAAACCCAGUGUGCCCAAAGCAUCCAGUCUUGGCAGAAUGUCUAUCCAUGGGAUAGCGAAGCAUCGAUCGAUUGUGGCCUGGAGUUGUGCUGGGCUUGAUGCCCGAUCUGAGCAAUGUGGGGGCUUGCCUCUGUCCGACGCCCUGGUUCCCCAAGCCUCCGGGUGCGGGUGGCCUCGUGCCCGGUGCAGAUGGCUUGCUUCCAAACGAAGCUGAUGGGAGUGUUUGGCGCUCAGGAAACUGACGCGCCAGAGGUGAAAUUCUUAGAUCGCAGUAUGACCAACUGCAGCGAAGGCGCUUGGCUGUGCAAGUUCAUCGAUCAAGAAUGAGAGUGUGGGGAGCAAAGAUGAUCAGACACCGUCGUAGUCCACUACAGUAAACCAUGCCAGCUCGGCAUUGGUUGAGCAAUCAUUGAGACUCUAUCAGUGCCAUGCCCCCUACAACGAGAAAUCCACAGCCUGUGGGUUCAGGGGGGAGUACUGUCGCAAGGCAGAAACUUAAGGGAUUGACGGAAUGGCACCACCAAGGCGUGGAGUAUGCGGCUAAUUUGACUCAACACGGGGAAUGUUACCAGGUCAGGACAUUGCAAGGAUGGACAGAUUGAGAGCUCUUUCUUGAUUCGAUGGAUGGUGGUGCAUGGCCGCUCCUGAUUGGUGGAGUGAUUUGUCUGGUUGAUUCCGAUAACGAGUGAGAUAUCUGCCUUUCACUAGCCCUGGCCACGCAUUUGUAGGGCUAGGCACGUGGUGUCGAGGGCCCCGGCUUGCCGGUGUGUCUUCGCCCACUGUCUCCUGAGUGUGCCAGGCAUUGCUAUCUUCGAGGUGCUGUGUCUGCAACCAAAGGCACGCAUGCUAGAGCCAACAGCAGGUCUGUGAUGCUCCCAGAUGUCCUGGGCCGCACGCGCACUACAUUGACACAGUGAAGGUGUUAUGCUCCCCUGUGGAGCCCUGUUCAGAAGUGAUUGGGAAACCAUGCAAAGCUGUGCUGUACUGGGGAUAGACUGUUGCAACUGUCAGCCUUGAACGAGGAAUGCCUAGUAUGCCUGCGUCAUCAGCGCAGACCGAUUGUGUCCCUGCCAUUUGUACACACCGCCCGUCGUUGCUACCGAUGAGAGCACGAUAGAGCCAUCAGGAGACAGCAUCCAGUUCAACCUGGUCAGCAGCCAAAAUUGGGCAAUGUUCUGCUCCUAGAGGAAGCAAAAGUCGUAACAAGGUUGUUGUAGGUGAACCUGCAAAAGGAUCAAAA
rnacentral:rRNA from 1 species